AUUUUUCGGUACUUCAUAACAAUUUUUGAACUGAAAAUAAGUCAGCCUCUGGAGAUUAUAAUUAAACAAACUAUAUUGUAAUACAAAAUGUUAUUCUAUUCAUUUUUCAAGUCACUAGUUGGGAAAGAUGUUGUUGUUGAGCUAAAAAAUAUUUGAGCAUCUGUGGUACAUUACAUUCAGCAGAUCAGUAUUUAAAUAUCAAGCUUACUGAUAUAAGUGUUACAGAUCCAGAAAAAUACCCUCAUAUGGUA
rnacentral:misc_RNA from 1 species